AGUAGGACUUGAUGUUGAUACUCGUGC
rnacentral:piRNA from 1 species